UUCAAAUACACAAAACAUUUAAUUUAAGUAUUAUUAAAGUAAAAAUGAAUCCAAAACUACCUAGAAACUCUGAAAAUGAGCCUCAUAAUUCUCAAGAAGCCAAGAUAAAUACAACAACGCAAUUGAGAUACGUAAUUGAAAAUAAGGAUGGAUUCAGUUUUACUGAUACAGAUUGUGGGGAACCUCAAGAAUGUCAACGGAUUAUUAUAGAUUUUUCACCAAAUGAGAGUGACAGUCCCGCUUCACGCCAGAAAUGCAAGGAUUUUUGGGAUUUCAUCAAUAAAAACCCUCAUUUAGAUACAUUUUUAACUGAACAUAACUCAAAGGCAGUGGAAUAAUUAUAUACGGAUCAUAUCUGAGUGUCAACUAAAUAACUUUAAGCUCUGUAACAAUUGUUACGGGCACAUUAUAAAAAAUAACACAGCUUUUAAAAAUAUGAAUAAAGUAGAUAUGAAAAUCUCUGCCCUUUCGAUAAUAUGCUUAAUGUGGUUACAAUCCUUAAUAGUUUAAUAGUUUUGUCCAACAUCCACAAAUAUAUGGAUCCAAUCUUA